rnacentral:tRNA from 1 species
UCCCAGGUGGCUCAGUGGUACAGAAUCUGCCUGUAACGCAGGAGACACAGGUUUGAUCCCUGGGUUGGGAA